GAUGAACGCUGGCGGCGUGCCUAAUACAUGCAAGUCGAGCGAACAGACGAGGCGCUUGCUCCUCUGACGUUAGCGUCGGACGGGUGAGUAACACGUGGAUACCCUACCUAUCAGACUGGGAUAACUUCGGGAAACCGGAGCUAAUACCGGAAAAUAUCUUGAACCUCAUGGUUCCAUAGUGAAAGACGGAUAUGUUGUCUCUUAUCACUGGCUCCAGGCCGCAUUAGCUAGUUGGUAAGGUAACGGCUUACCAAGGCAACGAUGCGUAGCAGACCUGAGAGGGUGUUCGGCCACACUGGAACUAAGACACGGUCCAGACUCCUAGGGGAGGAAGCAGUAGGGAAUCUUCGGCAAUGGGCGAAAGCCUGACGGAGCAAGGCCGCGGGGGUGAGGAAGGUUUCCGGUUCGUAAAACUCGGUGAUUGGGGAAGAACAAAGGUGUAAGUAACUAUGCACGUCGUGACGGUACCUUAUCAGAAAGCCACGGCUAACUACGUG
rnacentral:rRNA from 1 species